AGCUUUGGGAGAGGAGCCCCAGCCCUGGCAUUCCCAGGUGUCCUCAUUCUGUGAUCAGGACUGAACACAGAGACUCACCAUGGAGUCCGGGCUUUGCUGGGUUUUCCUUGUUGCCCUGUUAAAAGGUGUCCAGUGUGAGGUGCAGCUGGUGGAGUCUGGGGGAGGCCUGGUCCAGCCUGGGGGGUCCCUGAGACUCUCCUGUGCAGCCUCUGGAUUCAGCUUUGAUGACUACGUCAUGCACUGGAUCCGCCAGGCUCCAGGGAAGGGGCUGGAGUGGAUCUCAUACAUUUACAGUAGUAGCACAAGCUACGCAGACUCCGUGAAGGGCCGGUUCACCAUCUCCUCAGACAAUGGCAAGAACAUGCUGUAUCUGCAAAUGAACAGUCUGCGAGCAGAGGACACGGCCAUGUACUACUGUGCAGCAGGUGCAGUCUGCAUAGAGGUGAAAAGGCCUGGGGAGUCUCUGACAAUCUCCUGCAGGGCAUCUGGAUACAGCCUUGUCAGCUGCCACAUCUUCUGGCUGUGCCAGAUGCCUGGGACGGAUCUCAACUCGGGCAGUUUUCCAUUAGCCCCUUGA